rnacentral:misc_RNA from 1 species
GAUGAAGAACGUAGUGAAAUGCGAUAACUAGUGUGAAUUGCAGAAUUCCGUGAAUCAUCGAGUCUUUGAACGCACAUUGCGCCCCCUGGUAUUCCGGGGGGCAUGCCUGUCCGAGCGUCAUUGCAGCCCAUCAAGCACGGCUUGUGUGUUGGGUCGUCGUCCCCUCUCCGGGGGGGACGGGCCCCAAAGGCAGCGGCGGCACCGCGUCCGAUCCUCGAGCGUAUGGGGCUUUGUCACCCGCUCUGUAGGCCCGGCCGGCGCUUGCCGAACGCAAAUCAAUCUUUUUCCAGGUUGACCUCGGAUCAGGUAGGGAUACCCGCUGAACUUAAGCAUAUCAAUAAGCGGAGGA